UACAGAGGGUGCAACCGUUGUUCGGAAUUACUGGGCGUAAAGCGCACGCAGGUGGCUGAGUCAGUCGAUUGUGAAAGCCCUGGGCUUAACCUGGGAAUUGCAGUCGAUACUACUCAGCUAGAGUAUGGGAGAGGGCAGUGGAAUUCCCGGUGUAGCGGUGAAAUGCGUAGAUAUCGGGAGGAACAUCAGUGGCGAAGGCGGCUGCCUGGCCCAAUACUGACACUCAGGUGCGACAGCGUGGGGAGCAAACAGG
rnacentral:rRNA from 1 species